rnacentral:rRNA from 1 species
AUUGAACGCUGGCGGCAGGCCUAACACAUGCAAGUCGAGCGGAUGAAGGGAGCUUGCUCCUGGAUUCAGCGGCGGACGGGUGAGUAAUGCCUAGGAAUCUGCCUGGUAGUGGGGGAUAACGUCCGGAAACGGGCGCUAAUACCGCAUACGUCCUGAGGGAGAAAGUGGGGGAUCUUCGGACCUCACGCUAUCAGAUGAGCCUAGGUCGGAUUAGAUAGUUGGUGGGGUAAAGGCCUACCAAGGCGACGAUCCGUAACUGGCCUGAGAGGAUGAUAAGUCACACUGGAACUGAGACACGGUCCAGACUCCUACGGGAGGCAGCAGUGGGGAAUAUUGGACAAUGGGCGAAAGCCUGAUCCGGCCAUGCCGCGUGUGUGAAGAAGGUCUUCGGAUUGUAAAGCACUUUAAGUUGGGAGGAAGGGCAGUAAGUUAAUACCUUGCUGUUUUGACGUUACCAACAGAAUAAGCACCGGCUAACUUCGUG